GGGGGGGGGGGAUGUGGAGGGGGCUCCGCUGUCCCGUGGCUGAGCCUCCCCUCCCCCCCCUGCCCUUAGGGACAAGGCCGGGGAGGCGGAGGCCAACGCGGGGAGCCAGGAUGUGAGCGUGAAGGUGGAAGGGGAGCAGCAGCAGCAGGAGGAGGAGGAGGAAGAAGAGGAGGAAGAGGAGGAGGGCAGCGAGGAAGGUGACGAAGGGGCCGCGGGGGAGCGGGACAGCCUGGGGGGGCACCGGCUGGAGAGCCUGGAGGAGCCCCCCAAGAACAAAGUGGCACCGAUCCCCGAGGGCAGCGCCUUCUUCCUGCUGGGCAGCACCAA
rnacentral:lncRNA from 1 species